AAAGGAUUAGUUAAUUGCAUAACAUCAGAAUGUCAAACUGAAAUAAUCAUAAUAGAUAUCCUUUU
rnacentral:tRNA from 1 species